GUUUAAACACCGAGUCUCGUACGACUAGCGAAGUUAAGCAACGUCAAGCCCGGUUAGUACCUAAACGGGUGACAGUUUGGGAAUACCAUGUGCUGUAA